rnacentral:rRNA from 1 species
GACGUAGGGCGCGAGCGUUGUCCGGAUUUAUUGGGCGUAAAGAGCUCGUAGGCGGCUCAUCGCGUCUGCCGUGAAAACCUGUGGCUCAACUACAGGCUUGCGGUUGAUACGGGUGGGCUGGAGUUCGGUAGGGGAGACUGGAAUUCCUGGUGUAGCGGUGAAAUGCGUAGAUAUCGUAAGGAAGACCAGUGGCGAAGGCGGGUCUCUGGACAGUUCCUGACGCUGAGGCACGAAGGCCAGGGGAGCAAACGGG